GACGAACGCUGGCGGCGUGCCUAAUACAUGCAAGUCGAGCGAAGUUUUUCUGGUGCUUGCACUAGAAAAACUUAGCGGCGAACGGGUGAGUAACACGUAAAGAACCUGCCUGAUAGACUGGGACAACUAUUGGAAACGAUAGCUAAUACCGGAUAACAGCAUUAACUGCAUGGUUGAUGUUUGAAAGUUGGUUUUGCUAACACUAUGAGAUGGCUUUGCGGUGCAUUAGCUAGUUGGUGGGGUAAAGGCCUACCAAGGCAACGAUGCGUAGCCGACCUGAGAGGGUGAUCGGCCACACUGGGACUGAGACACGGCCCAGACUCCUACGGGAGGCAGCAGUAGGGAAUCUUCCGCAAUGGGCGAAAGCCUGACGGAGCAACGCCGCGUGAGUGAAGAAGGAUUUCGGUUCGUAAAGCUCUGUUGUUAGGGAAGAAUGAUUGUGUAGUAACUAUACACAGUAGAGACGGUACCUAACCAGGAAGCCACGGCUAACUACGUGCCAGCAGCCGCGGUAAUACGUAGGUGGCAAGCGUUGUCCGGAAUUAUUGGGCGUAAAGCGCGCGCAGGUGGUUUAAUAAGUCUGAUGUGAAAGCCCACGGCUCAACCGUGGAGGGUCAUUGGAAACUGUUAAACUUGAGUGCAGGAGAGAAAAGUGGAAUUCCUAGUGUAGCGGUGAAAUGCGUAGAGAUUAGGAGGAACACCAGUGGCGAAGGCGGCUUUUUGGCCUGUAACUGACACUGAGGCGCGAAAGCGUGGGGGAGCAAACAGG
rnacentral:rRNA from 1 species